rnacentral:rRNA from 1 species
AGCGAACGUUAGCGGCGGGCCUAACACAUGCAAGUCGCGCGAGAAAGGGGCUUCGGCCCUGAGUAAAGCGGCGGACGGGUGAGAAUAUCGUAGGUAACCUGCCCUUGAGUGGGGGACAACGGUCCGAAAGGACCGCUAAUACCGCAUAAGUUUCUCGGGACUCCGGUCCCGGGAAGGAAAGCCUCGCAAGGGGCGCUCGAGGAGGGGCCUGCGUCGCAUCAGCUAGUUGGUGGGGUAACGGCCUACCAAGGCGAAGACGCGUAGCUGGUCUGAGAGGAUGAUCAGCCACACUGGGACUGAGACACGGCCCAGACUCCUACGGGAGGCAGCAGUGGGGAAUAUUGGACAAUGGGAGAAAGCCUGAUCCAGCCACGCCGCGUGAGUGAUGAAGGCCUUCGGGUCGUAAAGCUCUGUGGGGAGGGACGAAUAUCCGGGUGAAGAGCCCGGCUUGACGGUACCUCCUUAGCAAGCACCGGCUAACUUCGUGCCAGCAGCAGCCGCGGUAA